UACGAAGGGGGCUAGCGUUGCUCGGAAUUACUGGGCGUAAAGGGCGCGUAGGCGGACAGUUUAGUCAGAGGUGAAAGCCCAGGGCUCAACCCUGGAAUUGCCUUUGAUACUGGCUGUCUUGAGUACGGGAGAGGUGUGUGGAACUCCGAGUGUAGAGGUGAAAUUCGUAGAUAUUCGGAAGAACACCAGUGGCGAAGGCGACACACUGGCCCGUUACUGACGCUGAGGCGCGAAAAGCGUGGGGGAGCAAACAGG
rnacentral:rRNA from 1 species